AGAAUCAACGCUGGCGGCGUGCCUAACACAUGCAAGUCGAACGAGAAAGUGGAGCAAUCCAUGAGUAAAGUGGCGACCGGGUGAGUAACACGUGACUAACCUACCUUCGAGUGGGGGAUAACCUCGGGAAACCGAGGCUAAUACCGCAUAACAUCGCAAGAUCAAAGCAGCAAUGCGCUGGAAGAGGGGGUCGCGGCUGAUUAGCUAGUUGGCGGGGUAAUGGCCCACCAAGGCGAAGAUCGGUAGCC
rnacentral:rRNA from 1 species